ACAACCAUUUUUUUGUUCUAUUUACGAUUUUUAAUUUUGAAGUGGCAUUUAUUGUGAUGUUAAAAUGAAGUGGUGUACAAAUAAGAUCGUGUCACAUGAUAUCACACAAAUAACUAGUACCGCGCGCGCGUGCGUGCGGUUUCCCUUACGAAAAUUAACCAUGGUUUUACUACAGUUAAAACCAAAAAACAUGGUUACUGUAGUAAAACCAUGGUAACCACAAAAUAACCUUGGUUUUGAUAACCAUGGUUUUCAAAAAACAUAGUUAAACCAUGGUUAGUGUAGUAAAACCAUGGUUUUGCUCAUAGUAAUCAAUUCACCAAAAAAACAUGGUUACUACACUUUUACCACAAUAAAAUCGUGGUUAAUUUUCGUAAGGGUUGGUGUGAUUAUGGUUAAAACAAGGCAAAACUGAACCAAAAGAAGAAAUAUAGCAUUUAAGAGUUAAUAGUAACAACAUACAAAGUAAUAUUCUAGGACUUUUUUCUAAGAAUACAUUUUUAAAUGUAAACUAUUUUGAUAUGUUAUUGAUAAGUAUACUUUUUUAUUGAACAGGAAACCAUUUCAGUAUUCACUGAGCUUUCUGACAACAGGGACCUUUGAUUUUACAUGCAAUAGAAACCCCCAUAUUAUUAAAAGUAAACUAACUCAGUAUUAUUUUUUAACUUAGCCUGUCAUGCCUUGCAUUAGUGUCUGGUGCUUUUGGAGAAUUCAUCCUUUGAGGUCAGAGAUGCUGAAAGUGCAACUCCAGUAAAAGAGGAGAGUAGAGAGCAGAGGUGAUGAAAUCCCCCUGCAUGUUGAUUAUUUUACCAAGAUGCCGAUUGACAUCCUCUGGUGGAUCAUGAUGGAAGUCGUUACAGAGACGGCGUUGUGGCUUUCUGGAGACUUUCACUGAUGUGCAAGGUCUUCAUGGACGUUGUCAGCAAACCCAAAUUCACUGUGUGGCUGGACAGUGUUGUGAGUUGGAGUGCAUUUUCCAGACAAUAUAGGCAAGAGCUCCCGGGUGCGGUGCCCUACUCGUUGACUUUGAAAUAUACGAGGACUGCCCACCUGGGUAUCUAGGUGAUGGCAGAAGGGGACUCCUGAAUGGGUUUUAUUCCGACAAGGAGGUUCAGGGCUAUUGCUCAGUUGAUUGUUUUUUCAAUGAUGGAGGGGAACUUCUGUGUAGAUUGUGUGUACGGUUAAUGUACCGUACAUGAUUAUCUGUGUGUGUAUUAUGUCUUUUUAACAAUUAUUUUUGUUUUGAAAUAAAAGUUAUCACUGGUAUGGGUUUGGUUUUUUUGAGUUGGCAUGCAUACUAUGGGAUACAGAGAUUGACAAUGUACUGUAUGUAGUUUAACUACAAACUACUUUCUAGGCAUAAAUGUUUAAUAAUAGCCUAUAUCACUAAUUCUUGAAUCUUUGGC